rnacentral:ncRNA from 1 species
AAUGACGGUUUCAGCGAGUUUGGAAUCCUGGCCUGAGCAGGUUGGGUAAAUUGAAUUAAAACCUUUGUGACUGGGAAUGGUGCUUGCAAAUGUUCCCCGUGAAC